UACGGGGGGGGCAAGCGUUGUUCGGAAUUACUGGGCGUAAAGGGCUCGUAGGCGGAUUGUUAAGUCGGGGGUGAAAUCCUGGAGCUCAACUCCAGAACUGCCCUCGAAACUGGCGAUCUUGAGUUCGGGAGAGGUGAGUGGAACUGCGAGUGUAGAGGUGAAAUGCGUAGAUAUGCGCAAGAACACCAGUGGCGAAGGCGGCUCACUGGCCCGAUACUGACGCUGAGGUGCGAAAGCGUGGGGAGCAAACAGG
rnacentral:rRNA from 1 species